rnacentral:rRNA from 1 species
UAACACGUGGGUAACCUGCCUGUGAGACUGGGAUAACUCCGGGAAACCGGGGCUAAUACCGGAUGGUUGUCUGAACCGCAUGGUUCAAACAUAAAAGGUGGCUUCGGCUACCACUUACAGAUGGACCCGCGGCGCAUUAGCUAGUUGGUGAGGUAACGGCUCACCAAGGCGACGAUGCGUAGCCGACCUGAGAGGGUGAUCGGCCACACUGGGACUGAGACACGGCCCAGACUCCUACGGGAGGCAGCAGUAGGGAAUCUUCCGCAAUGGACGAAAGUCUGACGGAGCAACGCCGCGUGAGUGAUGAAGGUUUUCGGAUCGUAAAGCUCUGUUGUUAGGGAAGAACAAGUGCCGUUCAAAUAGGGCGGCAC